UACAGGGGGAUAACACUUAGAAAUAGGUGCUAAUACCGCAUAAGCGCACGGUUCCGCAUGGAGCAGUGUGAAAAACUCCGGUGGUAUACGAUGGAUCCGCGUCUGAUUAGCCAGUUGGCGGGGUAACGGCCCACCAAAGCGACGAUCAGUAGCCGGCCUGAGAGGGUGAACGGCCACAUUGGAACUGAGACACGGCCCAAACUCCUACGGGAGGCAGCAGUGGGGAAUAUUGCACAAUGGGGGAAACCCUGAUGCAGCGACGCCGCGUGAGUGGAGAAGUAUCUCGGUACGUAAAGCUCUAUCAGCAGGGAAGAAAAUGACGGUACCUGACUAAGAAGCCCCGGCUAACUACGUGCCAGCAGCCGCGGUAAUACGUAGGGGGCAAGCGUUAUCCGGAUUUACUGGGUGUAAAGGGAGCGUAGACGGCAGCGCAAGUCUGGAGUGAAAUGCCGGGGCCCAACCCCAGAACUGCUUUGGAAACUGUGCAGCUCGAGUGCAGGAGAGGUAAGCGGAAUUCCUAGUGUAGCGGUGAAAUGCGUAGAUAUUAGGAGGAACACCAGUGGCGAAGGCGGCUUACUGGACUGUAACUGACGUUGAGGCUCGAAAGCGUGGGGAGCAAACAGGAUUAGAUACCCUGGUAGUCCACGCCGUAAACGAUGAUUACUAGGUGUCGGGGGGCCAAGGCCCUCCGGUGCCGCCG
rnacentral:rRNA from 1 species